rnacentral:rRNA from 1 species
GAUGAACGCUGGCGGCGUGCUUAACACAUGCAAGUCGAACGGUGAAGCAGAGCUUGCUCUGUGGAUCAGUGGCGAACGGGUGAGUAACACGUGAGCAACCUGCCCCGGACUCUGGGAUAAGCGCUGGAAACGGUGUCUAAUACCGGAUAUGAGCUGCGAUCGCAUGGUCAGCAGUUGGAAAGAUUUUUCGGUCCGGGAUGGGCUCACGGCCUAUCAGCUUGUUGGUGAGGUAAUGGCUCACCAAGGCGUCGACGGGUAGCCGGCCUGAGAGGGUGACCGGCCACACUGGGACUGAGACACGGCCCAGACUCCUACGGGAGGCAGCAGUGGGGAAUAUUGCACAAUGGGCGGAAGCCUGAUGCAGCAACGCCGCGUGAGGGAUGACGGCCUUCGGGUUGUAAACCUCUUUUAGCAGGGAAGAAGCGAGAGUGACGGCACCUGCAGAAAAAGCGCCGGCUAACUACGUGCCAGCAGCCGCAGUAACAC